CGCUCGUUCUCAAAACAACAUGUAAACAACUUUGAUGGUGUGUAAAUGUUCAAGUUAAUACCUAAGAACUAAAACUUCGCACACGAAUAUUAGUCCCGUGUCCGUUUUUUGGCUUGCCCACCAUUCAAGACGUCAUCUUUCGUCUGGUCAUUGUGAAGAGGUAGUGUAAAUAUCAAGGGAGCGGAUGUGAUGGUUCCACCAGCAUACAAGAGUAACCUCAAUUGUUUCAACAUUGAAUUGUUCGAAAUGAACAUCCCACUUCCUGCUUACAAUCUUCUUACGGGCCAUCAGAUGUGUAAAAGGGAAGUGUGCCCACCACAGAGGCACACAAUUAUGAUACCUGUUUGGAAAAGUAAAAUUAAAAAAGAAAAAUAAAAAAGAAAAAAAAGCUUUCGUGAAUUGUAAUACUAAACAGAAAUAGUUUUCAUUAUACAUUUGUAUAAUAUAUGGAAACACUAUGAAGGCGUGAUGACAGUCCAGGAACAGAAAUAAUGUGAAAUGUUUAAUGUUGUGGUAUACAGCAGGGGAGACUUAUUGUCCACUGCCAGUAAUUUUGUUAAAUGUUCCCGGUAAACAUAUAACAGCGUCGAAGUACAGUGCGAAGUUUUGUUGCCAUUUAUGAGUCUAAAUUAUAAAUAGUUGAUAAUCAUUCAUACCUUCGUACUCAGCCGGAGGUAAAGCGGGUCUUUUUAAUGAGAAAUAUUUCCAGAACUCCUCAAUGAUUCAAGAAGACUGCUCACG